GGCAGGGCAAGGCACGGCACCGCACGGCGAAACGCGCCAGUGGCGAACGCGCCGCACAGCUGAACGCGACGCCUACGCGACGCCGCGACGCCGACGCCGACGCCGACGCCUCCGCUGCCCGCCCCGCGUCGAUACCGCACUGCGCGCAACAGGAUCAUCAACCGCUGCUUGGAAGCAAAGGUUCUUCUGCUGUGUAUAGCAGACGGCGCAGCUACAAUAUUUCAGCACCCGUUCUCAGAGGCACAGGUGCAUGAAGCUUUCCACA